UGGAGAUGGAUUGAAGAGACAGAGGAUAGGUUGGAGAUGGAUUGAAGAGACAGAGGAUAGGUUAGAGAUGGAUUGAAGAUAGACAGAAGGUGGAUUGGAGUAGACAGAAGAUGGAUUGGAGAUGGACUGAAGAGACAGAGGAUAGGUUGGAGAUGAAUUGAAGAUAGACAGAAGGUGGAUUGGAGUAGACAGAAGAUGGAUUGGAGAUGAAUGAAGAGACAGAAGAUAGAGUGGAGAUGAAUUGAAGAGACAGGAUAGGUUGAAGAUGAAUAGAAGAAACAAGAUGGAUUGAAGAGACAAGAUAAAUUGAAGAUGAAUUGGAGAUAGACAGAAGACAUAUUGAAGAUGAAUAGAAGAGACAGAAGAUGGAUUGAAGAGACAGAAGAUAAAGUGAAGACAGAUUAAAGAUGAAUUGAAGAGACAGAAAAGAGGUUGAAGGUGAAUUAAAGAUAGACAGAAGAUGGAUUGAAGAUGAAUUGACGAUAGAUAGAAGAUAGAUCGAAGAUGAAUUGAUGAUAGAUUGAAGUGGGAGAGGAGAAAAUUGAGUGUGCUCGAAGAUAGAUUGACCGAGAUAGGCUUGAAGAAAAUAGAUUGGAUUGAGAAUUGAAUGGAUUGAAUAUAUUUUGGAGUGAUGAUGAGUUGAAGAUUGAUUUGAAGUAAGAAUGAAGAAAACUUAAGUGUCAUUGAAGAUAGAUUAACCGAGAUAAGAUUGAGGAAUAUAAAUUGGGUUGAAAAGUGAACGGAUUGAGAAUUGAAUGGAUUGAAAAUUGAUUGGUAUGAGUAUUUAUUGGAGUGAUGAUGAGUUGAAGAUUGAUUUGAAGUAGGAAUGAAGAAAACUUAAGUGUCAUUGAAGAUAGAUUAACCGAGAUAAGAUUGAAGAAUAUAGAUUGGGUUAAAAAUUGAAAGGAUUGGAAGUUGAUUGAAUUGAUUGAAGGAAGACUGAAGAAAACUGAAUGUAACUGAAGAAGGAUUGAAGAGAAAUUGAAGAAAAUGGUUGAAAGCUUAGAAUCAGUGAAAUAUUACCUGUGAAGACCUUUUUGAGUGACACACAAACACGUCUUCUGGCAUUUUCUUGUAUUAGACUGAGCAUGGUAUAAGAAAAUGAUUGAAAGGCAGGAAAUAUAGCGGUUAACAUAAUGAUUGUAAUGUGAAAGAUUUUUAACGAUGAAGACAACUAUUUACUAAGUCCAAAAAGGAGACAAAUCUGGUUCUAAGGAGUGUUUUUUCACGUUCAUGGUACAGAAGAAUGGUUAACCUACUACCAGGGUCAUUAAACUAUCCCUGGAAAUGCCCACAACUCCUCCGAAAGCCUUGUUAAAUUUGUGUAUGCUUGGGGGGCGAAGUGCUUAAGGAUACGGGCUUGCAACUCAAUCACGAACAUGUAUUUUGUUGUUUUCGUACUUAAUGGUUAACCUACUACCAGGGUCAUUAAACUACCCCUGGAAAUGCCCAUAACUCCUCCGAAAGCCUUGUUAAAUUUGUAUGUGCUUGGGGUCGAAGUGCUUAAGAAUACGGGCUUGCAACUCACUCGCGAACAUGUAUUUUGUUGUUUUCGUACUUAAUGGUAAACCUACUUCCAGGGUCAUCAAACUACCCCUGGAAAUGCCCACAACUCCUCCGAAAGCCUUGUUAAAUUUGUAUGUGCUUGGGGUCGAAGUGCUUAAGGAUACGGGCUUGCAACUCACUCGCGAACAUGUAUUUUGUUGUUUUCGUACUUAAAUGAGUAUGAUUGAAUAUUUGAAAGCUCGGGAAAGGUUUAUGAUAUUGGUUGUGAUGUGAAGAAUAUUCGAAGCCUAAGACGGUAUCGCGAACACGUCUUUUUAUUAUUUUUUUCGUAAUUUUCUAGCGAACGAACAUCUUUGCGUGAUUGUGGUGAGUCAUUCCACGGCGCUUUCACGGCUCACGGUGGUAUUUCCCUCACCUGUGAUUUAUGUGACGGUUAAGUAAGGUGAGCAUCAUGCUGAGACAAGGAAAGCGGCGCAGAACAACUAUAUAGGCUAUCUUACAACCUGAAGUGCCGCUGGAAAAAGAGAAAUACCAACUCGAAAAUGAUAUAAAGGAAAGAAAUGUUGAAUGACUUGACUAUAUCUUAUCAUCGGAAGUAUUAAUAGAAAGAGAAAUAACAAUACAAAUAUAAGACAAAAGAAAGAGAGGCGUAAAGUGACUAUCUUAUCAUCCGAAGUAUUGAUAGAAAGAGAAAUAAAAAUGCAAAAAUAAGACAAAAGAAAGAGAGGCGUAAAGUGACUAUCUUAUCAUUCGAAGCAUUGAUAGAAAGAGAGAUAACAAUACAAAAAUGAGACAAAAGAAAGAGGCGUAAAGUGACUAUCUUAUCAUUCGAAGCAUUGAUAGAAAGAGAGAUAACAAUACAAAAAUGAGACAAAAGAAAGAGAGGCUUAAAGUGACUAUCUUAUCAUCCGAAGUAUUGAUAGAAAGAGAGA